rnacentral:lncRNA from 1 species
CGCUGAGUCAGAGAAGGAAACGAAAGCUACCAGGUUCAAGUGAAAACUCGAAAUAGCACAUAAAGCAGGUUUUAAAUGCACUGAAAUAUUUGUUCAUCCUUAGUUUUUCCUAGUAGCCGAGUCACAAACAUGUUUUUACUAUACAAAAACAAAUAUAUAAAGACAUUUUUAAAUGUAACUGCUCAGAAGUCACAUGAGAGGGUGGGGACAAAGUGGAUAUAAAAGGAAACUUGACUCUGUGUCGGCCUCUUCUAUCCUGCAGACAUGUCUGCUGAAGGAUUACUGGGACAACUGCUGGGAGGAGCCCAGCAACAGGGCGCCCUUCAGCAUCGGGUCUCGGCACUUUUCAGCUUGCUCAACUCUUGGAGGUGGUGAGGAGGUGGUGCUCCCAAGGGCACACCAGGGCUCUUCCCCAUCAGCACUCACACCUGGUGCUGGGGAUCCCUAGUGCAGACCCAGUGCUAUGACAUCGCACGGAGGACAUCUCGAAAGACAACUAUCGCAAACAGACACAAGAAGCAACCAAACGAAUAAAAAGCCAGAAAAUGUUGAAUUAUUACUGACU